UAAAUAAACAUUAACAAAAAUUUUUAAAAACUUGUAAAUUAGAAAAAAAAAGCACGGGGUGGGGUGCCUGAGUGGCUCAGUUGGUUGAGCUUCCUUCUGACUUCAGCUCAGGUCAUGAUCUCAUGGUUCAUGAAGAGCCCUGUGUGGGGCUCUGUUCUGACAGCUCAGAGCCUGGAGCCUGCUUCAGAUUCUAUGUUUCCCUCUCUCUCUGUCCCUUCCCUACUUAUGCUCUGUCUCUCUCUCUCAAAAAUAAAUAUAAAAAACAUUAAAAAAAUAAAAACAUAAAGCCUUGUAAAUUUAAAAGUAUUUUGAAACAGGUUAUGUAAAACAAAGGCUUAUAAAUUUCUGACCUUGAAGCCUGGAACUUUUCUACUUUUGUGAUGGUGGUUGCUUUUCCUUAGAUGCAGAUACUCAUUCUCAAAUGUAAACUGUUUUAAUAAUCAUUGGUCUCUUAAAACGCCUUUUAAAUUUUUAUUAAGUAUUUCUUAAUCUUAGAACAAACUGUGUGAGCAGGUUUUUGUUUUCGUUUUUGUUUUAAACACAUUAAGGGGCACCUGGGUGGCUCAGUCGGUUGAGCCUCUGACUUCAGCUCAGGUCAUGAUCUCAUGGCUCAUGGGUUCAAGCCCCGAAUCAGGCUCUGUACUGACAGCUCAGAGUCUGGAGCCUGCUUCGGAUUCUGUGUCUCCCUCUUUCUCUCUGCCCCUCCCCUGUUCGCACUCUUGUCUCUGUCUCUCUCUCUCUCAAAAAUAAAUAAACGUUAAAAAAAUUUUUUUAAAAAUAAAAAACACAUUGAGAAAGGUAUCUAUCUUAAAGGCUAAGAUCUAUGAUAUGAACUCAUAUUUAAAUUGUAAAAUAAUCUACUUCAGGAAUUAACUUGUUUCACCUACUUGGUUUUGUACCCUUAAUUGAUAUAGGAGUAAUAAGAAGAAAUAAAGGAUCUUUAUUGUUCAUUUUCUUCUAUUUUGAUAAGACAAAAUCUAUCAAAAAUCUAUCUACCCCAAAUAUUAUUGUAUUUAGAAUUGUAUACCACUCAUUUUUACAAAUCUCCAAAAACAGUAGACAUGGCUUUGGUUAGGUAAAAGCAGUCUGCGUACAGUAUACUUAGUUUCAACCCUGGUUGGUUUUUCUUUUAUGAGAGUGUAAGCUAGGACGUUUGCCAUCACCAGCCAUUAGAGUGUGUCCCUUACCUUUAAUCUCAGAAACAGUCCUUACUUUCCUGCGGAUUCUGAUCCUCUUGCCCUACCUUUAUGACCCGAUGGCUCAAAGAUCACGUGACGUGGAGGAGUAGACACUACUGGUCGCUGACUGACGGCUUCCACUAAUCCUGUGAUUUAGGGCAAAGACAGCUUUUUCCACCAGUGUUUGAUGGCUCAGACACGAAAGCUCACAAGGUUAACGUUUGGCAGUCUGUACAGUAGCUGAGGCUUAAAGCGGAAGGUGACGAUCACAGCCCAGGGAGUAGAUGGGACAGGAAGAACAGAAAGGUGGAGGUGACACAGGACAGCCAAAAUACUAUAGACGUGAACAGAAGGAGGGCGAGCGGCCGAGGCUACCCUCUGUAGAAAAUCGGACUGUAGUGUGGUUUGCCUUUUCCAAAGUCACAAAAACUAGGUAUAAAGCUUUUACUUCUUAGAGAGAAGUGUUUGAACAGAAGGGAUACACGUUACCGUAUAAUACUGUUUACGAAGCACAGGUCUUACACCUCAAAAUUAAGGCUUCUUAUUUCACACAUUUAUAAAUUUAUGUCUGGGCCUUACAUAUGUGCAUGUGCACAUAUUGCUGGAAAGAGGUCUCAGAUUUUCAUCUGAUUCCCAAUAGGGACUGGGACGUACACAUAAAGUUAAAAAAAAAGUUCUGAGGACCAUGGCUCUGAGCCUUAGGUGAGGAACUCUUUAGAUUGCUCUGUUUCUUCAAUGUUUUAUUUUAUAUUCAAUUGUAUACAACUUUAGGUGACUUUCAAGGUGUUUCUGUGAAAGCUUACUAUUUUGCUGGCUGAUUAUGUAGGAUACAAAUACUACCCUUCUUAGGAAUUCCUUGCUCUGUGGUAUAAUAUCUUUGUCCAGUUCAUUUUCCCCCCAAUAUAUUUUUUGAUUUAAUACUAUAUUUUAUUUAAUUGAUAUAUGCAAAAUAUUAUCAUUCUACCAUGUAAUAAAUAUAAAAAUUAUUGAGGAUGUGUUUACAUUCUUCAUUUCAUACUUAGCCUACGCAAUUCAACGGUCAUGUAAAUUGCAAAAUAACCCGUAGUAAUGUGGGAAGUAGAAAAAAGCCAGACACAGAUGUGAAUGUGGACUAUGAACAUAACUAGGCAUUCCUAUUCUUUAUUUAUAGGGUCAAAGAAUAGAUUGGCAAAUGGAAAAAGAAAGCAGUGAUUUCUUAGGGUGCUAGAAUUAUGAGGAAUUGCCACUUCCCAUUUCUCUAAUGUGCUAAAAAACAUAUAAUGUAAAAUUUACCAUCUUAACAGGUCAGUUGUUUUGACUGUAUGCCCCUUAUUUGGUAACUGAUCUUCAGAACUUUUCUCAUCUCGCAAAACCAGGACGCCAUCCACAUGGAACGAUGUCCUUUUCCCCUCUCUCCAGGCUCUGGUGACUACCAUUCUAUUUUCUGUCUCUAUGAUUUUAACUAUUCUACGUAUCUCAUGUAAGUAGAAUCAUGAAGUAUUUGGCUUUUGAUUUCACUUAGCAUGAUAUCCUCAAGGUUCUUUCAUGUUGUAGCACAUGGCAGGAUUUCCUUCAUUUUUAAGAAUGGGUAUUAUUCCUUCGUGUGUAUAUACUGAGAUUUCUUUACCUAUUCAACUGUUGAUGGGUAUUUUGAUUGAUUCCUCUUCUUGACUGUUGUGAAUAUAAUAAACAUGGGAGUGCAAACAUGCCUUUGAGAUUCUGUUUUCAGUCCCUUUGGAGAUGUACUUAGAAAUGGGACUCCUGGAUCAUACGGUAAUUCUGUUUGUAAUAUUUUAAGAAACCUCCAUACUACUUUGCAUAGCAGCAGCACUAUGUUUCAUGACUACCAGUACUGUACAAAGUUUCCCAUUUAUCCACAUCCUUGGUAACAUUCGUUCUUUUGUGGUUUGUGUUUAACUGUGUUUAUUCUUAAUCUUUUAUAUAUACACUCGGAAACAUUGAUUCUUCAACCUUAUUUGCAGUAGAAGGCAUCUCUUGAGAGUUCCUGAAAAGAAUAAGCUUGGCUAAAAUCUGGACUAUCCAAAACAGUUUUUUGUGGUUUACGUUUUCAAUCGAAUGGCUAAAUGGCUGUCCAAUGGGAAUUGAGGCUUCUUGUUUACUGAAUCCGAUUGGAUGAGAAGAUAAAGAAUGUAAACCACGAGUAAAAGAAAUGAUAGGGUCUUCCAUCUUUGAACAUUUCCCUUCAAGGGACAGCCUUAUUUAUUUUAGUCUAUGGCCUGAAACACUCAAAAGGAAAAUCCCACCACACCACCACCAUCACACACACAAACACACAGACACACACACGCACGCAUGCACGCACACUGUUGUUACCAGACUGACAGUUGCUGUUACUUCAGAUGAAACCAUCUUAUAUCUGCCGUAGCUUCCAUCUGGUUAAACUGUGGUUGCCACGAACAAAUUGUGAGGUUGUUUUCCUGCUUAGCUUUUGAUUAUCAUUCUGCCCUCUAACGGGCCACCUCUACCUCUUCUUUCCUUGGCAUAGUUUUUUAUGAAUCCUGCUGGAUAUUUGGAAAUUAUAUACAUCUUCUCAGGGACGAAGUAAGCUUUCAGUUCUCUAGAUCUUGUGGUUCGGAAGGUAAAAGAAAUCAUUGCGGAAGUAUGAGUUUUCCUCGCUUCAAGUCCCCAAAGCCUUCCACGAACAUGACAGGGAAUGGGAGAUGAAAAAUGAAGAAAGAUUUGCCUGUGUUUAUUGCUGCUAGAUUCUGAGGCAACUUUGGCUCCCUGUGUUCUGUUCCUGAAGAAGGGCUGGCCAAUAUGGUAUGGCGACAUGGAAUUUGGGUGGGAGAGGGCUUUGGGGUCAGAGUGCCUUCAGGUUGUAACGCUCACUCUCUGCUGUUUCACCUUCUAAGCACAGCCCAGCAGACCAGGUCCUGCUUCAGGCUCUUUCGGGGAACUUGGACUUUAAUUUGAUGUGAUGUGGAGACGUUGACUGGCUUAAGCAGUGCGAAGGUAUUGUUACGUGUGUGUUUUAGGUAGACCACUUUCUGUAGAGUCGAUUUAGAGAGCUAUGAUUCAGGACAGAGGAUCACUAGGGGACUAAUGUCCCGUCUGGGUGAGAAAAGAUGAGGGUCUAAAUCAGGAGCUAUAUUGGGAACAAGUCUGUGGUUGUGUCACCAACUAAAAUAAAGGGUUCAGGGGAGAAAGGGUGUGCUGAGGGAUAGUAGUGAUUCCGGUUUUGAACACUAUUGAGUUCGCAGUGAGGCUUGCAACUGUCUCUCAGGCAGUUGGGCGUGUGAAGGUCAUGCUUGAAGGAGACAUCAUGACAAGAGUUGUCAGUAUCUGGUGAUGGUAAAGCUGUGAGAAUGAAUGAGAUCGUUAAGAAAGCAGACAGAAGCCCCUAGACCACUAAGCAUAAUAGAUGCCAAAUAAGAUGCUUUGUGAGACUUACAAACAUGACGUUAACGAGAUUCUAGGAAAGGUCAAGGUAAAAAAUAUUUUUGGGGGUGGACGGGAUGAAGAAAAGUUUAAAGAUAGCACGUGCGAUGGGCCUUUGAGGAUGAGGUGAAUUUUAAUAAUGGGAUAAAGUUAAAAUAUUAAUAUAAUUAAUAUAAAAUAUUAAAGAUAUCGUCCCGAAAAAGAGAGAAGAAUCUGCCAAGACAGGAAAUCGUAGGAUGUGUUUGGGAAACUAUACACAGUUUAAUUUUGCUGGAGUGAUAAAUACAAAAGAAGUAAAGAAAGAUUAAGCUUGAGAAGCUACAUUGGUGGGGCACCUGGGUGGCUCAGUCAGGUAAGCAUCCAACCUCGGCUCAGGUCAUGAUCUCAUGGUUCCUGAGUUCUAGCCCCACGUCGGGCUCUGUGCUGACAGCUCAGAGCCUGGAGCCUACUUGGGAUUCUGUGUCUCCCUCUCUCUCUGUCCCUCCCCCACUCAUGCUCUGUCUCUGUCUCUGUCUCUCUCUCUCUCUCUCUCAAAAGUAAACAUUAAAAAAAAAAAGCUACAUUGGAGACACGACCUGCACAUAUGGUUUUCCAUUAUGCCCUCCUUCCCCUUCUAUCCGCUAUUUCAUUGACUUACAGAAUUUUAAAGGGAAAGGCACCCAAGAGUGGAUUUAUCUCUGGCCAUUCUGGGUCACCACUUCUGGACAAUCAGAGCCACCGUGCACUUGAACAAGUGCGAAGACCGUCUGCAAGUCGUUUCACCCAUUUUACAACUUUUCUGAUUGCCAGCAUUUUUAUUAUUUCAUUAUUGAAGCUUGUGCUUUCCUCUCACUGUUGUUUCUAGUUGCACCCCUACACAUACAAAAAGAUUAAGAAAUUAAUUAAUAGCACUCUUUAAUGAUCGUUUUUCAAUGUGAAUCUACUUUAUUGUCCUGACCUCCACUCUAGACUUUUCCAUAUUGACCAUUAAGAGUAUUAAGUUGUCAAAUACCUUGCAAAAAUGGAGACACAUUAUGUCUGUAGCAUUUUUUUAACUCAUCAAAACUAAAAUUGAGCUGAAUUUAGUACAGUUUAUUCUUAGUGACAUAGUGCUGUUUUCCAGUAAUCUUCUUUCUCUUGAGUAAACCUUUUAGACCAUUUAGUUAGUAGUUAAAUCUGCAAUUUUUUUUAGGGUUUUCAAUAAAAAAAUUAUUGAUCAGUGUUUCCAAAAACUGAAGUUUUUCCCUUUUGGAAAUGAGAAUAGUCAUUUGAAGGGUUCCAAUACUUAGCCAUCUAGACUCUGCUUGUUGACAUCAGUUCACUGGUAAUAGAUUCCCUAUAAUUAUAAACUCCUAAAUCACCACGUUUGACAGUUAUUCAACACUGCCUAGCUUAAGAAAACCAGCAGCAUUCUGAUGUUUAUAGUUUUCGUCCACCCAUCUAUUCAUCCAUCCAUCUGUCCACCAGCAAUAUUUACUUUAUUUAUAUUUACUGUGUGCCCGGCACUGAGCUAGAGGCUAGAAAUACUGGUGAGCAGGACAGACAUGAUCUCUACUCUCACGGAUUUUAUUUUGCUGAGGUUUUCAGUUUUUAAGCGGUAAUGAAAACCAGCACAGAAAAUGGUUUUGAGCACCAAUGAAAACCGUUAACUGUUCAGAUUGAAGAGAAUGGGUAAGGGCUCAACAGAAAACCCUCUCUGUUUGGUGAACUGUCUAUCAUUCCGUGAUUGAAGUCACUGGAUAAAGUCUCCUCAGAUUCUGGCCUGCCAUUGGGCAGCAGAACAGCAGCCCUUCCCUGGAGGUUGUGGUAGCUGCCACCUGAUCUGGACAGAGGAGGGAGUGGUGGGAGGGGAGGAGGAAGAGGCUCAGCUUGGAGUUUCUGAGCUGGGCCGCGAGGUGUUUUGACUUCACGGCAUCAUACAGGGAGAAAGUGAAAUGCAAGAUAGGAAAAUGAUUUCACAGUGCUUUCCAAAUUUAAUUUCUAGGCUAAAAUAUUCUGUUUACAGAAUUAAGAGAAAACUGGCUAGUUGGUAAACGUAGCUUUUGGAAAUGAUUGCAUUUGGAUUAGAUUUUUGUAGUCAUAUGGGCCAUAUGUAUGUCUGGUGCUUUGCUCUAUUGGCAUAGGUUUAUACUUUGUUCUAGUAUUUUCCAAAUUGAAAAUGAAGCAGCAUUUUCAGAACUGACCAGGUCAUUGCCCUGAGUAAACUGGGCAACUGCCUUCUAAACACCAUGCAAUCUCACCCAACACUCAUAUACCGCAAGAGGGUGUUUUUCUUGCCUAAGUUUAUGUUGUGUAUCCUAUUCUGGGCCUUUGGACAGGCUAUUUCAGCUUUGUAUUGCUUUCUCUCAACAUUCCAUAGGAGGCAAUAUUUCCUAUUCUCUGUUGUUACAAAAGCUAUGAAAAUAUAUGCCACCCAUUUAAAGAAACAAAUGGGUAUCUGGAAGUUUUCUCUACCCAACACUAGUUUCAUAUAUAAAAUUUAGUAUGUUUUGGCUUUUAUGGUGUUUACCAAUGGGGAAAAAAAAGCCUCAACGAAGUAACUAAGGCCAUUUGUUCCAGUUCUUCCUAUACUGGAAAGUAACCGUGAAAAGUUAUAUUGAUGAAACAUUCUUAUUACUCCAGGACAGAGAUUGGCAAAUAUUUUUCUGUAAAGGGUCAGAUAGUAAAUGUAUUUGGCUUGUGGGCCCCCAGGGUCUCUCUCUGUUAAAAGUAUUCAAGUCUGGGGCACCUGGGUGGCUCAGUCGGUUAAGCGUCCAACUUUGGCUCAGGUCAUGAUUUCACGGUCCGUGAGUUCGAGCCCCACAUCGGGGUCUGUGCUCACAGCUCAGAGCCUGGAGCCUGUUUCAGAUUCUGUGUCUCCCUCUCUCUGGCCCUCCCCCGUUCAUACUCUGUCUCUCUCUGUCUCAAAAAUAAAUAAACAUUAAAAAAAAAUUAAAAAAAAAAAAGAAAUGAAUGCAGCUGAAGAAGACAUCCAAGAACUGAACCCUGGAUAUUCACAUAAAGAAACAUACUUCAAGAAGACAGUGAUGUCAGAUGUUACAGAGAGAUCAAGUAUAAUGAGGACAGAGAACUGACCCUCGGGUUUAGCAAGACAGAGGAAGAUGUUAACCUUGACAAAGAGUUGUUUCAGUGGUGUGGUAGGAAUGAGAGCCAGACUGAAGGGGGUUCACACGAGAAUGGAAGAAGAGCAUUUGGAGACAGCAACUCUAUACUAUUCUUUUAAGGAGUUUUGUCUUAAAUGGCAAGAGAAAAAUCAACAUCAGUAAUCAUAUUGAGUAUAAGUAGUUUAAACACUCUAAAUACAAGGCAAAGAUUGCCAGAUUGGAUCAAAAUAAGACCCAGGUAUAUGGUGCCUACAAGAAAUGUACUUUAAAUAUAAAGACACAAGUAGGUUAAAAACACGUGCCAUCUUAACACUAAUCAAAAAAGCUGGAGUGGCUAUAUUAGUAUAUAAGUUGAUUUCAGAGCAAAAAAAUGUUAUCAGGGAACAAGAAGAUCAUUUUCUAAUGAUAGAGGGGGCUGUUCAGGAUGACCUAACAACAGUCCGGAAUAUUUAUGCACCUAAUAAUAGAACUUCAAAUACAUGAGGCAAAAAAUGAUAGAACUGCAAGGAGAAAUAGAUAAGUUCACAAUUACAGGUGAGAGAUUUCAAUACCUUCUUCUUCAUAAUUGAUAGAACAAUUAGAAAGAAAACUAUUAAGAAUUUGGAAGACUUGAACAACAUUGUCAAUCAAUUUGCCCUGACAUUUUUAGAAUUAUCUACCCAGCUACUACACAAAGAAUACAUUUUUUUUCAAUGCAAAAGGAACAUUUACCAAGAUACACCAUAUUCCAGACUGUAAAACAAGUUUUGAUAAGUUAAAACAGAUUUAUGUUUUAUAAUAUAUGUUUUUUAAACACAGUGGAAUUAACUUAGAAAUAAAUAAUAAAGAUAUCUGAAAACUAACAGUUAUUUGGAAUACAAAAAGACAUUUCUUAGUAACCCAGCCGUUAAGAAAUAAAAAGGUAAACUGGAAGGUAUUUUGAACUGAAUGAAAAUAAGAACAAAUACAUCAAAAUUUGUAGUAUGCUGUUAGUGCAAUAUUUAGAGGGACAUUUACCCUAAUAGUGUAUUACUCUAUUAGAAUAGAAAUGCUUCAAACCAGUGACUUCCCUUUUCACUUCAAAAACCAUAAAAAGAGAGUAAAUGAAAUCCAAAGUGAAGAAUGAGAGUAAUAAAUACCAGAGUGGAAAUCAAUGAAAUACAAAACAGACAAAACAAUAGAGAGAAUUGCUGAAACCAAAAGCUUGUUCUUUAAGAAUGUAGAUACAAUUAAUAAAACUCUAGCCCAACUGAUCAAGGAAAAAAGGAGAGAAGACACUAAUUACAAAUAUCAGGAAUGAGAGAGGUGAUAUCAUUAAAGAUUUUAUAGGUAUUAAGAGAAUAAAGAAGGAAUGUUAUGAACUACUACAUGCCAAUAAAUUUGACAACUUUGAUGAAAUGGAAAAUUCCUUGAAAGAUACAAACAACCAAAGGAGAAAUAGAACAUAUGGAUACUCCUGCAUCUAUUUUUUAAAUGAACUUAUAGUUAAAUAUAUUCCCUGUAAGACAACUCUAGGCCCAGUUGAUAUCACUGAUGAAUUCUACCAAACAUUUAGGAAAAAAGUAAUGUUAAUUUUAUAAAUAUCUUUCAGAAAAUUGAAUAGGAUAGAAUAUUUCUCAACUCAUCCUGUAAGACCAGCAUUGUCUGUAAGUCCUAACGAAGAUAUUACAGGAAAAGAAUAGAGUUCACUAUCACUCAUGAACAUAAGUGUCAAAGGUCUUUAAAAAUUUCAGCAAACUCUACCCAAAAAUAUGUAAAAAGUAUAGUAUAUCAGGACCAAGUGGAAUUUGUCCUAGCAAGGCAGGGCUGGUUAACACUCAAAAAUCAACCAGUGUAAAUUUCUAUAUUUUUAAAAAUUUAAAAAAUUAAAGCAUAUGAUCAUUUCAGUAGAAGCAGUAAAAGCAUGUGACAAAUCCCAUAUCCAUACCUGGUAAACACUCUCAGUAGACUAGAAAUAGAAUGGAACUUCCAUAGCCGAAUAAAGGUCAUCUACAGGAAACCUAUAGUUAACAUCAUUCUUAAUAGUGAAAGACUGAAUGCCUUCCCUGAAUGUCAAAAACAAGGCACAGAUGUUUUCUUCCUCUUUUAUUCAACAUUGAACUGGAGGUUCUAGCCACUGCAAUCAAGCAAGAAAAAGAAAUACGAAUCAUCCAGAUUAGAAAGGAAGGAAGAAAAUAGUUUUAUUCUCAGGUAUCAUAGACGUCCAUGUCGAAUAUCUGAAGGAAUUCCCCACAAAACUUCUGGAACUAAAAACAUUAAUUUAGAAAAGUUGUCGGAUAUAAGAGCAUUGGUACAAAACAUAAUUGUAUUUAUAUGUAUUAGCAAUAAACACAUACAUGGACGACUGAUUUUUGACAAAGCUGCAAAAGCAUUCAGUGGAGAAUAUAGUUUUUUCAAUAAACCGGGCUGGAACAAUUGGAUAUUCAUACACAAUGAUAUUCAUAUUCUCUGCACUGACAGUGUGGAGCCUGCUUGGGAUUCCCUGUCACUCUCUUUCUCUCUCUCUCAAAAGAAAUAAAUAAAUUUAAAAAAAAGUAAUAGAAUAGAGGGAAGCAUCUUAGCAUUUUUUUUUUUACUACUAAAGUUUUAUUUUGUACCCUUUCAUUGUUUCAGAUAGGUUUACCAGGCACAAGUGACCUACAAUAAACUGCACAGAUUUAACUUGUACCAUCUAAUAAACUUAGGCAUGUACAUACCCAUGAAGCCAUGGCCACAGUCAAGAUAUACGAACAUAUCUAUCAGUCCUCCCAAGUUUUCCUGUGCACUUCCCCUCCCAUAGGUGACCCCUGAUUGGCUUUCCGUCACUACAGGUUAUUUUGUGUUCUCUAGAGUUUUAUAUAAAUGGAGUCAUAGAGAAUGCACUGUUUGCCUGGCUUCUUUCACUCAGUGUAGUCAUUUUGAGAUUCAUCCAUGUUUUAGCCUAUGUCAGCAAUUCAUUCCUUCUUAUUGUAGCGUAAUAGUCCAUUGUAUGAAUAUAUCAUAAUUUGCUUACCCAUUCACCCGUUGACAACAUUUGUAUUGCUUCCAUUUUUUUUUUUUACUAUUAUAAGAAAAAAGCUGCUAUAGACAUUUGCAUACAAGUCUGUGUAUGGACAUAUAUUUCCUUUGCUUUGGGGAAAAUACCUCUAAGAGUAGAAUGGCUGGAUCAUAUGAUAGGCAUCUGUCUAACUUUUUAAGUAACUACCAAACUUUUUCCAGAGGGGCUUUACUGUUUAUUUUUCCAGUAGCAGUGUGUGAGAGUUUCAGUGCCCCUCCAUCCACACCCGUCCCUUUUAGGGUCUGUCUUUUUAAUUUUAGCCAUUCCAGUAGCUGUGGGGUGGCAUCUCACUGUGGUUUUGACUUGCAUUCCUCUAAGGCCCGGUGAUGUGAAACAUCUUAUCAUCUGCUUAUUUUCUGUCCGUCGAUUGUGUCCGGUGAAGUGCCUGUUCAAAUCUUCCCUCCAGUUUUGUUAAUGGAUUGUUUAUUUAUCUAUGUUUUGGUUUUCUUAUU